rnacentral:rRNA from 1 species
UACGUAGGGUGCGAGCGUUACUCGGAAUUACUGGGCGUAAAGCGUGCGCAGGCGGUCUGUUAAGACCGAUGUGAAAUCCCCGGGCUUAACCUGGGAACUGCAUUGGUGACUGGCAGGCUUUGAGUGUGGCAGAGGGGGGUAGAAUUCCACGUGUAGCAGUGAAAUGCGUAGAGAUGUGGAGGAAUACCGAUGGCGAAGGCAGCCUCCUGGGCCAACACUGACGCUCAUGCACGAAAGCGUGGGGAGCAAACAGG